UGGGUUUGGCUUGGACGUUCCAGCCUUGCCCUUCUUCUUCCAAGAAUUGCCCUUCUUCUUAAAGCUAGGCUUGUUCUGUAUCGCCUUCACAUGGUUGGUACUAGCGCUUUUCUUGAUGUCAGCCUCUGCUGUUUUAAGCAUGCCACAUAGCUCAUUCAGACCCUUCUCUGUCCCAUGCAUAUGGUAGUUCGAGAUGAAGUUCCCAUAGCUAGGCGGAAGAGACGAAAGAAUGAAAUCAGUGGCCAACUCUUGGCCCAGUGGGAAGCCUAGCUUCUCCAACCGUUGAGUGUAACCAACCAUCUUGAUUAC
rnacentral:lncRNA from 1 species